rnacentral:rRNA from 1 species
GAUGAACGCUGGCGGCGUGCCUAAUACAUGCAAGUCGAGCGAACAGACGAGGAGCUUUCUCCUCUGACGUUAGCGGCGGACGGGUGAGUAACACGUGGAUAACCUACCUAUAAGACUGGGAUAACUUCGGGAAACCGGAUCUACUACCGGAUAAUAUAUUGAACCGCAUGGUUCAAUAGUGAAAGACGGUUUUGCUGUCACUUAUAGAUGGAUCCGCGCCGCAUUAGCUAGUUGGUAAGGUAACGGCUUACCAAGGCAACGAUGCGUAGCCGACCUGAGAGGGUGAUCGGCCACACUGGAACUGAGACACGGUCCAGACUCCUACGGGAGGCAGCAGUAGGGAAUCUUCCGCAAUGGGCGAAAGCCUGACGGAGCAACGCCGCGUGAGUGAUGAAGGUCUUCGGAUCGUAAAACUCUGUUAUUGGGGAAGAACAAAUGUGUAAGUAACUAUGCACGUCUUGACGGUACCUAAUCAGAAAGCCACGGCUAACUACGUG